CUGAUCCAUAUGAAUUCCUCUUAUUAAGAAAAAUAAAGCAUCCAGGAUUCAAUGAAGAACUGACUAUCACCUUGUUAAUCAUUCAGAAACAUGUUGCAGGCUUAAGCCAUUUUUGAUAUAGAUACUGAAACAAUUACUUGCUAAGAGCAAACUUGAAGUAACAAUUUGGACAAGACAGCAAAUGCUAUUGUCCAAGUUUUCUAAAGAAGAAUCUGAAGUGAAAUGACAUCAAGAGACCUAUCAAGACCUGUAUCCAGGAAAAGACCAAACCAAUGCAGACCAAACCAAUGCAGAACUCCUAUGUGCUGAUGGUGGUCUUACAUUUCCCUAAGUUUCUGCCGACUAAACUGUGCACACGUUCUCAGGACCUCCUGAAGCUGCGUCACAGGCACUAAUCAAAGAACACAACCAAGAGUUUGGCCUUUUCUUCAGCACUGGGAAUUGUGAUCCAAAGCUUUUCCUGAUGAGGCACAAAGUUGGAGAAACACAACGCAAACUAAACAACAAUGAAACAGAACAGAGUGAAUCUGCUGUAGCUCAAGAGAGGACGUAGCUGCCCCCACUCCGCAUCCCCGGGCUCGGGUUUGCCUUGCUGACCUCUGCUGCCACCUGGUGCUGCACAGAGAAACUGAGGAGAAACCACAUCAGUCUCCUUCAGCCUCAGCUUCACAUCUGUGGGUCAAGCAACCCUUUCAGAAGCUGUAUAAUGUGGGAAAGCUUUCCUCUCAGGAAAAUGCACACAUCCAACUUUGAGAAGAUGCCCUUGGGGGUGCUUCAAGGAUCCUAGAUAAUAACCCCCUUUCCCGAACAUCCAAGAACCUAAGUUUUUUUUUUUUUUUUGAGAAAGUCUCGCUCUCUCUCCCAUUCUGGAGUGCAGUGGCGUGAUCUUGGCUCACUGCAAGCUCCACCUCCCAGGUUCAAGCCAUUCUCCUGCCUCAGCCUCCCAAGUAGCUGGGGCUACAGGCACCUGCCACCACACCCGGCUAAUUUUUUUGUAUUUUUAGUAGAGACGGGGUUUCACCGUGUUAGCCAGAAUCGUCUUGAUCUCCUGACCUUGUGAUCCACCCGCCUCGGCCUCCCAAAGUGCUGGGAUUACAGGUGUGAGCCACCACGCCUGGUCCAAGAACCCAACUUUUAGAUCUAGAGUGAUGUCAGCAUGACAUUGAUUUCCUGAGGCCCAGGGGUGAAGGAGCUGAGGACAGCAGAGGGGUGAAGGAAGUCAGCUACAGACAGCAGCAGCUGAUGCACAGGCCUCCCAGUGCCUGAAGUCACCCGGAAUUGGGAAGUGCUCAGAAGCUUACAAAGCUGCCUCGAGGUGGGAACACAACAUUAAUCCAAGAGCAGAUCCCUGAUCCUAUAAAAAUGUACUAGAUGCAGUGGGGGCAUUUUAAAUGAGCAGGGAAGGACAGACAGAUAAACAGAAGGACAAACAGUAUUGGGAUUGGGAUAAAUGCUCAGCUUUUGCCCAAAUCUUAGUGACUUAAGCAUCACUUAUUUGCUCACGAUUCUGUGGCUGGACCAUUUGGUUUGGCUCACAGGGCAGGGACUGUGCUGGUCUUACCUGAGCAGACCUGCAUGUCUGCGGUCAACUGGGUUGGCAGAGACAGAGUGACUGUCUUCCUCCAGGAAGCAGCAGGUUAACUGGUUGGCAGAGACAGAGGGACUGAGGGACUGUCUCCCUCCAGGAAGCAGCAGGUUAACUGGUUGGCAGAGACAGAGGGACAGAGGGACUGUCUUCCUCCAGGAAGCAGCAGGUUGGCUCUGGUUCCUUCGUGGGGCAGCUGGUCUCCAGGGCAGCAAGAGAGACCAAGCCCCCGUGCACAUUCUACAGCCUCUGUGCACAUCAGACUUGUUAAUAUCCCAUUGGCCAGUGCAAGUCACACGGCCAAGCCCAGAUUAAGGAGUGGAAAGAUGGACGCUAUCUCCUCCUGGGAGAGGAGGCAAAGGAGGUGAGAGCAUUAUGUGGCCACUUAUGUUUGCAAUCUACCAUACUUAGCCCUUUGAGAAAAGAAUUAACUGAGAAACUUGCUUCAAAUAGGGCAUUCAGUAAAAUGAAGCCCCAAUUGAAGUAAAAUGCAUAUAUAAAAAAUGAAACUGUGACCGAUUUUAAGGACAGUAUUGGCAAAUAUUUCUGUGCUCUUGGAGGAGAAGACCCUUAUUGGCAUGACAUGUCAGAGACCACAAUGAAAGAAUUAUUUUAACUUGCAUUCAUAAAAAUUAAAAUUAUUCAUUAAAAACAUCGUGAAUGAAAUUAAAA
rnacentral:lncRNA from 1 species